AAAUAAAAGUUUCGACCACGGCAGGAUUCGAACCUACAAUCUUCUGCUCCGUAGGCAGACGCGUUAUCCAUUGCGCCACGCGGCCAGUCAGCAGAGUCUUAGUAUAAGGAGUAGACAUGUAAUGCAGCGCCUCUUCCUUCUUCUCUUCUAUUG
ensembl:ncRNA T06H11.17 ncRNA